CGAACCAGACGUCUGUUGAAAAAGGCGGGGAUGACUUGUGGAUAGGGGAGAAAUUCCAAUCGAACCCGGAGAUAGCUGGUUCUCCUCGAAAUAGCUUUAGGGCUAGCCUCAUGGAUCAUUGAUGGGGGUAGAGCACUGAAUGUGCGCGGGGGCCACAAAGCCUACCAAACGCUAUCAAACUUCGAAUACCAUACAAUGCAGACCAUGGGAGUCAGUCCGCGAGAGAUAAGUUCCGCGGGCAAAAGGGGAACACCCCAGAUCAACCGCUAAGGUCCCCAAGUUCACGUUAAGUGGAGAAGGAUGUGGAAUUGCACAGACAACCAGGAUGUUGGCUCAGAAGCAGCCACACAUUUAAAGAGUGCGUAAUAGCUCACUGGUCGAGUGAUUGUGCGCCGAAGAUGUCCGGGGCUAAACGUGACACCGAAGCGAUGGGUGCAUCUGAAAGGAUGCGCGGUAGAGGAGCAAUGUGCAGAGGCAGAAGCCGUAUCGAGAGGCACGGUGGACACUGCACAAGAGAGAAUGCCGGUAUGAGUAGCGAGAGGCAUGCGAGAAACAUGCCCGUCGAAAGCCCAAGGUUUCCUGGGGAAGGUUCAUCCGCCCAGGGUAAGUCGGGGCCUAAGCCGAGGACGGAAGUCGUAGGCGAUGGACAGCAGGUGUAGAUUCCUGCACUACCGAUGGAAUGAAGCAGUGACACAGAAGGAUAACUCGAGCAGGGUGAUGGUCAACCCUGUGCAAGCAUCAAGGUUGGGUUGUAGUGAAGUACGCAAUCCUAUAAGCUGAGAUGUGAUGCGGACCGAAAUUUCAGUAGGGAAGCGAGUGAGUUCACGCUGGCGAGAAAAGCUGCUAGUAUAUCCAAAGGUACCCGUACCGGAAACCGACGCAGGUGGGCGAGGAGAGAAUCCUGAGACGAACGGGAGAACCCUUGUUAAGGAACUCGGCAAAAUGACCCCGUAACUUCGGGAUAAGGGGUGCCUGCGAGAGCAGGCCGCAGAGAAUAGUCACAAGCGACUGUUUAGCAAAAACACAGGUAUCUGCGAAAGCGAGAGCUGACGUAUAGGUGCUGACACCUGCCCGGUGCUGGAAGGUUAAGGGAACAUGUUAGAGCAAUCGAAGCAUCGAACCGAAGCCCCAGUAAACGGCGGCCGUAACUAUAACGGUCCUAAGGUAGCGAAAUUCCUUGUCGGGUAAGUUCCGACCCGCACGAAUGGUGUAACGACUUGUGAGCUGUCUCAACAGGGGGCCCGGUGAAAUUGAAGUAUGGGUGAAGAUGCCCAUUACCCGCGACUGGACGGAAAGACCCCGUAGAGCUUUACUGCAGCCUGAUAUUGAGUUUCGGUAACUGAUGCACAGGAUAGGUGGGAGUCUGAGAGACAUGGGUUUCGGCUCAUGUGGAGACGGUGUUGGGAUACCACUCUUCGGUUACUGAAAUUCUAACAUAGCUCUGUGAAACCAGAGGAUGGACAGUGUCAGGUGGACAGUUUGACUGGGGCGGUCGCCUCCGAAAGAGUAACGGAGGCGCCCAAAGGUACCCUCAGAAUGGAUGGAAACCAUUCGAAGAGCGCAAAGGCAGAAGGGUGCCUGACUGCGAGAUUGACAAAUCGAGCAGAGACGAAAGUCGGGCUUAGUGAUCCGGCGGUAUUGAGUGGAAAAGCCGUCGCUUAACGGAUAAAAGCUACCUCGGGGAUAACAGGCUGAUCUCCCCCAAGAGUCCACAUCGACGGGGAGGUUUGGCACCUCGAUGUCGGCUCGUCGCAUCCUGGGGCUGAAGCAGGUCCCAAGGGUUUGGCUGUUCGCCAAUUAAAGCGGCACGCGAGCUGGGUUCAGAACGUCGUGAGACAGUUCGGUCCCUAUCCAUCGUGGGCG
rnacentral:rRNA from 1 species